GAUGAACGCUGGCGGCGUGCCUAAUACAUGCAAGUCGAGCGAACAGACGAGGAGCUUGCUCCUCUGACGUUAGCGGCGGACGGGUGAGUAACACGUGGAUAACCUACCUAUAAGACUGGGAUAACUUUGGGAAACCGGAGCUAAUACCGGAUAAUAUAUUGAACCGCAUGGUUCAAUAGUGAAAGACGGUUUUGCUGUCACUUAUAGAUGGAUCCGCGCCGCAUUAGCUAGUUGGUAAGGUAACGGCUUACCAAGGCAACGAUGCGUAGCCGACCUGAGAGGGUGAUCCGCCACACUGGAACUGAGACACGGUCCAGACUCCUACGGGAGGCAGCAGUAGGGAAUCUUCCGCAAUGGGCGAAAGCUUGACGGAGCAACGCCGCGUGAGUGAUGAAGGUCUUCGGAUCGUAAAACUCUGUUAUUAGGGAAGAACAAAUGUGUAAGUAACUAUGCACGUCUUGACGGUACCUAAUCAGAAAGCCACGGCUAACUACGUG
rnacentral:rRNA from 1 species